CUACCACUCAGUGGUAAGGCUACAUCAGUCUUUCGCUCUGCACAAUAAAGGGCAAACCGCCUGUAUCAACAUUGCUUGUUGUCCAAAAAAGCUGAAAGACUCGCGCAGCCCACCCAGAGACGCCAAAUUGUCGUGGAAAUUAGACAACACUCGCAGACUCGUCCUCUGAAGGUUGCUCUGCCCCAAUUCGACGUGCUGCACCGGGAUUUGAGAGGAGAAGAUUGUGUGUCGAAGACCGAUAUGUCGGGAGGAAUGUGGAUGUGUGGUUUGUCUGUGAUUGUGUGCAUACUAUUGAGUAGCGAAUAUUUUUCCCGGUGUUUGAGUGAGAUCGCUUGCUAGUUUUAUUGUGUGUGAGUGAAAGAAGUGAGUGGUAGGAUCUUGUGUUGUCCCAUUCCCCCGUUUUUGUCUUGUGUUGUGGCUGAGUGUAUGCCUCUAUUAUAAAUAUCAUUAUUAUUAUUAUUAUUAUUAUUAUUAUUAUUAUGGCUAGGUAAUUUAAAUUGAUACGGGACAAGAUAGUGACUGUUCUGUUUAUUAUUUUGGCCUUGCC
ensembl:lncRNA